rnacentral:ribozyme from 1 species
UGUCAAAUUUGUCAUUGAGUAUGGAGGGUAAUAUGCAAGACCCAAUUUCUCAUUAUGAUCGAA